UACGAAGGGGGCUAGCGUUGCUCGGAAUCACUGGGCGUAAAGCGCACGUAGGCGGCUUUCUAAGUCAGGGGUGAAAUCCUGGAGCUCAACUCCAGAACUGCCUUUGAUACUGGAGAGCUUGAGUCCGGAAGAGGUGAGUGGAACUCCGAGUGUAGAGGUGAAAUUCGUAGAUAUUCGCAAGAACACCAGUGGCGAAGGCGGCUUACUGGUCCGGUUCUGACGCUGAGGCGCGAAAGCGUGGGGAGCAAACAGG
rnacentral:rRNA from 1 species